rnacentral:lncRNA from 1 species
UCAUGGGUGGAAGCAGAACCCCACUAACAUUAUUAUGAGUUUCUCAUGAGGCAGGACUUGUAAUAUCUUCACGGAGGGUGAACAGAAACUCGAUAGCCUGUGUUCCGGAAAGGAUACAGAUGACCCUUCUCUCAGUUCUACUCACAGCAGCUAACACCUAUCAACAUCUUCAAAAAGAAAUGUUUAACCAGGCUCCAAACCAAUAACCACAAGGGACAACAGGGUUUAGUCGUGACACAAGAAGAUGGAUAAGGACAGAUUUGUUUCAGGACCCCAAAUGAUGAGACCGCAAAGGGAAAACUAGAGUAAAAAUAUUGAGCCAAAGAAGAAUCCCAGUUGUAGAACUUAUGCGA